rnacentral:rRNA from 1 species
CAGCCGCCGCGGUAAUACGUAGGGGGCGAGCGUUGUCCGAAGUUACUGGGCGUAAAGCGCGUGUAGGCGGGUCUUUAAGUGAGGGGUGAAAGGUUUGGGCUUAACCCAGACACUGCCUUUCAUACUGGAGACCUUGAGUGCGGGAGAGGCGAGUGGAAUGGUCGGUGUAGCGGUGAAAUGCGUAGAUAUCAGGAGGAACACCGAUGGCGAAGGCAGGUCUCUGGGCAUUAACUGACGCUGAGGAGCGAAAGCAUGGGGAGCGAACAGGAUUAGAUACCCGCGUAGUCCCUGUCUCUUAUAC